rnacentral:rRNA from 1 species
GAUGAACGCUGGCGGCGUGCCUAAUACAUGCAAGUCGAGCGAACGGACGAGAAGCUUGCUUCUCUGAUGUUAGCGGCGGACGGGUGAGUAACACGUGGAUAACCUACCUAUAAGACUGGGAUAACUUCGGGAAACCGGAGCUAAUACCGGAUGAUAUUUUGAACCGCAUGGUUCAAAAGUGAAAGACGGUCUUGCUGUCACUUAUAGAUGGAUCCGCGCUGCAUUAGCUAGUUGGUAAGGUAACGGCUUACCAAGGCAACGAUGCAUAGCCGACCUGAGAGGGUGAUCGGCCACACUGGAACUGAGACACGGUCCAGACUCCUACGGGAGGCAGCAGUAGGGAAUCUUCCGCAAUGGGCGAAAGCCUGACGGAGCAACGCCGCGUGAGUGAUGAAGGUCUUCGGAUCGUAAAACUCUGUUAUUAGGGAAGAACAUAUGUGUAAGUAACUGUGCACAUCUUGACGGUACCUAAUCAGAAAGCCACGGCUAACUACGUGCCAGCAGCCGCGGUAAUACGUAGGUGGCAAGCGUUAUCCGGAAUUAUUGGGCGUAAAGCGCGCGUAGGCGGUUUUUUAAGUCUGAUGUGAAAGCCCACGGCUCAACCGUGGAGGGUCAUUGGAAACUGGAAAACUUGAGUGCAGAAGAGGAAAGUGGAAUUCCAUGUGUAGCGGUGAAAUGCGCAGAGAUAUGGAGGAACACCAGUGGCGAAGGCGACUUUCUGGUCUGUAACUGACGCUGAUGUGCGAAAGCGUGGGGAUCAAACAGGAUUAGAUACCCUGGUAGUCCACGCCGUAAACGAUGAGUGCUAAGUGUUAGGGGGUUUCCGCCCCUUAGUGCUGCAGCUAACGCAUUAAGCACUCCGCCUGGGGAGUACGACCGCAAGGUUGAAACUCAAAGGAAUUGACGGGGACCCGCACAAGCGGUGGAGCAUGUGGUUUAAUUCGAAGCAACGCGAAGAACCUUACCAAAUCUUGACAUCCUUUGACAACUCUAGAGAUAGAGCCUUCCCCUUCGGGGGACAAAGUGACAGGUGGUGCAUGGUUGUCGUCAGCUCGUGUCGUGAGAUGUUGGGUUAAGUCCCGCAACGAGCGCAACCCUUAAGCUUAGUUGCCAUCAUUAAGUUGGGCACUCUAAGUUGACUGCCGGUGACAAACCGGAGGAAGGUGGGGAUGACGUCAAAUCAUCAUGCCCCUUAUGAUUUGGGCUACACACGUGCUACAAUGGACAAUACAAAGGGCAGCGAAACCGCGAGGUCAAGCAAAUCCCAUAAAGUUGUUCUCAGUUCGGAUUGUAGUCUGCAACUCGACUACAUGAAGCUGGAAUCGCUAGUAAUCGUAGAUCAGCAUGCUACGGUGAAUACGUUCCCGGGUUU